rnacentral:rRNA from 1 species
GGGNGGAGCCUGAACCAGCCAUGCCGCGUGCAGGAAGACGGCCCUACGGGUUGUAAACUGCUUUUAUACGGGAAUAAACCUUGGUACGUGUACCAAGCUGAAUGUACUGUAAGAAUAAGGAUCGGCUAACUCCGUGCCAGCAGCCGCGGUAAUACGGAGGAUCCAAGCGUUAUCCGGAUUUAUUGGGUUUAAAGGGUGCGUAGGUGGCCUGUUAAGUCAGGGGUGAAAGACGGUAGCUUAACUAUCGCAGUGCCCUUGAUACUGAUGGGCUUGAAUGAACUAGAGGUAGGCGGAAUGUGACAAGUAGCGGUGAAAUGCAUAGAUAUGUCACAGAACACCAAUUGCGAAGGCAGCUUACUAUGGUUUUAUUGACACUGAGGCACGAAAGCGUGGGGAUCAAACAGGAUUAGAUACCCUGGUAGUCCACGCCCUAAACGAUGAAUACUCGAUGUUGGCGAUAUACGGUCAGCGUCUAAGCGAAAGCGUUAAGUAUUCCACCUGGGGAGUACGCCCGCAAGGGUGAAACUCAAAGAAAUUGACGGA